UGAAGAUCAAUAAAUCAGAAAAUGUUUUGCAUGGGUGGUGAAUGUUCUGACAGUUUUAACAGUUGUGAUGUGGUGUAUUUCACUUCCACGCAUCAUGUAGAAGUUGGUGACCUGAUACAAUGAACAUGGAAAAAUCACCUGCGCCCACGUUGACGAUGAUACCUGUACCGAAGUGCUGGAAACUAAAAUUAAUUUUCUUUACAAUUUGGUUUCAGGCUAUCUUUAUAAUUUUUUAAUAGUUUUGCGUUUAUUGAUGCGUCCGCAAGCUCUUAGCUGAUUUCCUCCUUUAGAUACCGCCUGUCGACGAUUUGACAGCCUCACACAAUUAAAGAACGUAUGCCAAAAAGCCAAAGUGAGCUCUUCCGAGCAGAUAAGUGACGGCGUAUCCAUUUAAUUGAAAAUAGGCACAAGAUAACGCACAAUUGGCGUCCUUGUUUCAAUGGAGAAAUUUUGCCGUGGAACUUAUAACCGAAAUACCAUUGCAGCUGUACAAAAAAAGAAAAGUGUAUUAUCAUACAGAUGUUGACUAGCUAACAAUCCAGAGAUACGUCAACUUGCGAAAUUUCUAGAUGUGUGUGAAGCGCAAUCAGAAUCCUUGUUGAACUGUGAACCCAA